GCUUCCGUAGCUCAGUUGGAAGAGCGCAGGUCUCAUAAUCCUGAGGUCGACGGUUCGAACCCGCCCGGGAGCA
rnacentral:tRNA from 1 species